AGAUGAAGGUCCGGAUUGCAAUUGCCCUGCUUUUGGCAACCCUGACGAUAGUUCAUCAUGCAGUUGCAACGCCCUUCCUCAGGCUGAAGGUGCCAACGGGCGCGCUCGACUUCAAGAACCAAUUUCAGAAAUUCUGGAGUCGAUGGAGACCCCACCAGGACGACCGCUAUUGGCACGGCUUCGACAUCGAUGGAUACACUAAGAACGGCUAGGCCUGAGAAUGCGCAGAGGAACUCCGUGGGAACAUCCGAUCCGAAAAUCGACUUCAGGGACGAAAUUGCCAGGAUGGAUGAGACAUGAAUCUGCAUUUAUUCAUAUCAUUAUGUACUGUCAUAAUUAAUUUCACCUUAUCAUUUACUAAACAUAUCAAUCGUGUCCUGAUCUCAUGUUUUUUUUUCUACGAUUCCAUGUUUUAUUAUUAUUUUUGUUUAUUAUUAUUAUAAUUUCAUUGUUCAUCUUCAUAUGUAUGGUUUUAUCAAACAUGACGUGUUAUUGAAGUCUUGAGGAAAAUGGAAUAGUUUUAUUAAACCUGAUGUAAUAUUGUAUACAGAUUAUGAAAGAAAUGCAUUUUUUUUAUUGGGUACUUAACUGUGUACGAUUUUUAUUUUUCAUUUUUUGAUAAAUAUAACGUUUGUAGAUAAGGAAAAGAAAUAUUUCAAUAGCGUCAUCAUAUUUUCUGUAAACAAAUGCGUGUGUGUGUGUGUGUGUGCGUGCAUGCGCAUUUUUUUUGCAUAUAUUCUGAAAUAAAAAGUUAUCAGUA